rnacentral:tRNA from 1 species
UCCCUGGUGGCUCAGAGGUUAAAGCAUCUGCCUGCAAUGUGGGAGACCUGGGUUCGAUACCUGGUUUGGGAA